UCUCGUGGACAGUUUGGCAACCUGUGUCAAAAAUUUGAAAAAUGUUCAUAAUCUUUGACCUGAUAUUUCUUAAUGCUAGGAAUGUAGGCUAAAGAAACAGAGAUAUGAAUAAAAAUUUAGCAUAAUUGGGAACAACUGGUAACUCACUGAAUAACUAAAAAUUUUUGAAUGUUUAAGUAAAUUUUAUAUUAUUCAACCAAGAAAAUUUCCGUUGUAGAAUAAUGACAUAUAAAAAUGUAAACAUGUACCCAAAUAGACUGGAAAAACUCUGGAAGAAAUUAUGCUAAAAUAUUAGGGAGGGGUUUCUCAGUAGUGAGAUCAAUAAUUUAUAUCCCCAAUUAUCAUGUAUAUUUUUAUAACCAGACAAAAACUGUACUUUCUGAGUCUUUUUAAAAAUCUAUCUUCUCAUCCUUUCUACACAGGCAACAAAAAAAAAAAAAGAAAGAAAGAAAGGGGACAGAGAAAUGGAAGUGACAAUAAAUUCAAGAUAAUUGAGCAACGUAUCAGCAGGCUCUUGGGUGAAGUUCUCCAUGUGCUGUUUUGCUGAUGGGGAAACUGAGGCUUAGGGAGUCUAACACUACUGCAACCACUGGAAAAUGGUGGACCCAGGCAUGAGACCCAGGUCUGUCUGAUCCCACAGCUAGCGCUCUUUCUACUUCACCACAUGACAUUCUGAAAGGAACCAUCCUGAGUACAUUAAAGCUGCUGGAAUUUACAAGAUAGCAGCCCAGUUACAGAACUGGGAUUGUCCUAGAACAGGCAAGGACAAUGGAGGAACCAUUGAAGCUGCCAAAAGGACCUGUACUCCUUAUGCACCCCUGCAUCCAGAGCUAGCUAGACAGUCCCAGUCACUCAGAACCACUACAAGGAUUAUCCAAAGCUUUAGAGUUUCUGAAUCACCUUCAAGUUUCAGCGUCAAUAUGAACUCAACCCACUACUUCAGUGCAUCAAGAAAGAGAAAUGUUUACCAGCAGAGAGGCAAUCUAUACUGGGCCUUCAACAAUGACCUCUUGCACAGACAAUGAAAUCCAGAAGCUUUUGCUGAUUGAUGUCAUGUGAUUGUAACUAAGGAGAACCUGAGACAUUUCUCUAGCAUUUGCCUCUCUUGCCAGCCUGAUUCAAAUCUGUUCAACUUCAAGAUACCGUAUAGACAUAGUAUAGAAACUCAAGGUUUGGACUACACCUCUACAAUGUUGUGCGUUUCUUUCUGCAUUACUCCCAUCCCCAAGAAAUAAAAGUACAAAGCAGAAAAUCAAAAUCAUCAACAAUCCCACCCACCAAAAUGUAACAUUUUGGUAUAUAAAUAAAUUAAAACCUUUUCUAUGGAGAUGCAUCUUUUAAAAAAACAAAGGAACAUUUGAUGUAUUCUUUUAACAAGUGUUUUUCCUCAUCUAUUAUAUAUUAUAUAUAUUUUUUGAAGCACAACACACAAAUUUUAAGUAUAGAGUUGCCUGAGUUUUCACAAAGUAGACAUGUCCCAUGUAAUCAUCACCCAGGUAAAGAAAUAAAAUAUUACUGACCUCUCAGGGUUUUGUGCUUCCCCCCAGCCACACUCCUCAUACCAGAAGUAAAACACUAUUCUGGCUUCUUUCACCAUUCACUACUUUCAUGUUUGUGAACUUUUCAUAAAUGAAAUUAUAAAGUAUGCACAUCUUUUUGCAUCUAGCUUCCUUUGUGUUUUAUUAUACGACUCAUCCAAGUGGUUGCACGUGGCAGUAAUCACUCUCCCUUAUGGUACAGAAGUCCAUUGUGUGAGUACACAAGUUACUUUUUCAUUCUAUGCUUGAUGAACUUUUGGGAGGUUUCCAAUUCUUGGGUAUUAUGAAUAGCGCUGCUAAGAGUGUUCUUGUACAUAUCUUUGGUGCCUUUAUGUUCACAUUUCUCUUGUACAUAAUUAAAAGUGGAAUUUCUGGGUUAUGUUAUGACUGUUAGCUUUAGUACAGAGUGUCAAACCGUCUUCCAAAGUGGUUGGGUAUGCUCACACUCCCACCAGCAGUUCAUGGACAUCCCAGUUGCUUUACAUUCUCACCAAAACUUGUUACUAUCCGUCUUUUCCAUUUUAGGCAUGCAAUUGGAUGCAUAUUUGUGUCUCCACCUGUUUUCAAUUUGCAGUUAUCUGAUGACUGAUGAUGCAGAGUAGCUUUUCAGAAGUUCAUUGGAUAUCCUUUUUUUGUGAAGUAUCUUGAUGAGUGUUUUACCCUUUUGUCUUUUGGGUUGUCACUGUUGAUGUGUAGAAUUCUUUAGAUAUUCUGGUUAUAUAUAUUAUUUUACAUCUCCCAAUCUGUAGCUUAUUUUCAUUCUCUUAAUGAUGCUUUUGAUUAACACAAGUUCUUGAGUUAGUGUCCAAUUUUACAGCAUCAUCUUUUAUAAAGAGUGUCUGUGUGUCCUGUUUAAGAAAUCUUUGCCCAAAGUCAGUAAGAUUUUAUCCUAUCUUUUUCUAGAAACUUUAUUGUUUUAUCUUCACUUUCAGAUCGGCAGCCCAUCUGUAAUUGAUUCGUACAUGGUGAUAUAUGGAGGUGCGAUUUCCUUUUUUUCUAUCUGUAACCCAAUAGACUGUGAAUCCAGCACCAUUUAUUGAAAAGGUCAUCUUUCCCUGCUGCACUGCAGUCCCACUUGUGUCAUAAAUCAAGCAACCAUAUGUAUACAAAUUGGUUCCGGAACUCUCUAUUCUGCUCCAUUUAUCUAAUUUUGUGCCAACAUCAUGCUAUUAUCUUAAUUAUCAUAAUUUUAUAAGGUCUUGUUAUCAGGCAGUGCACGUCCUCCACCUUCAUUCUUCUUGUCUUAUUCUUGGCCCUUUCCAUUUUUAAUAAAAACUUUAAGCAUUUCAAUUCCCACAGAAACACCUGCUAUGGCUUUAAUUGAGACUGCUAUGGAAUUUACAGAUCAACUUGGAAAAAUUAUAUCUUUAAAACAGUGAGUCUUCCAAACUAUGUGCAUGGUAUAUACCUCCAUGUAUUUAGGUCUUUUUAAUAUCUCUUGGUGAUCCUUUGUAGUUUACUGUGUAUUGAUCUGACAUAUAUUUCAUUUGAUUUUUCCUAGGUAUUUGAUAUUUUUAUGGUGUUUUAAAUGCUAUAUUUUAAAUGUUCAUUUUCUAUGAUUAUUUCUGGCAUAUAAGUACAACUGCAUAUUUGAUCUUUAGUCAAUGACCUUAACAAUUCACUUAUUAAUUGCAAUAACUUGCUUAUAGAAUUUUUUGGAUUUUCUACAUACACAAGCUCAUCUGUGAAUAAUGACAGUUUUGUUUCUUCCUUUCCAGUCCUUACACGAUUUUACCAUUGUUUUUCCUGUCUUGUUGCACUGGCUAAUAACUCUGGUACAAUGAUUAAUGGGCAUCCUUGUCUCAUCCCCAAUCCUGGUGUAUACUGGGGGAGAGCCUUUCAAUAUUUUAUUGUUAAACAUGUUUCCUGUAAGCUUUUGAUAUAUACUCUUAUCAGACUAAACAAUUUCUUCUUUCUUCCUAGUUUUAUACCAGUUUUAUUUUUUACAUCUUGAAUGGAUUUUAUCAAAUGCCUAGUUAUAUAAAAUAUGAGUUUCUCACUGAUUCUCUUACUGUGAAUUAUAUUCAUUGUUUUAAAAAUGCUAAGCAACUCUUGCAUUUCUGAAAUAAACCUAGCCUAUUUGGGAUAUAUGAUCUUUUUAAAUAUAGCACUGCAUUUUAUUUUAUGUUAGGAUUUUCCAUUACACAAAAUUUAACAUGUUGUGAAUAACUAACCACAUG